rnacentral:rRNA from 1 species
UACAGAGGGGCAAGCGUUGUUCGGAAUUACUGGGCGUAAAGGGCGCGUAGGCGGCCCGCUAAGUCGAACGUGAAAUCCCCGAGCUCAACUCGGGAACUGCGUCCGAUACUGGCGGGCUUGAAUCCGGAGAGGGAUGCGGAAUUCCAGGUGUAGCGGUGAAUGACGUAGAUAUCUGGAGGAACACCGGUGGCGAAGGCGGCAUCCUGGACCGGCAUUGACGCUGAGGCGCGGAAAGCUAGGGGA